GGGGGGGGGGGGGGGGGGGGGUGGGGGGUGGGGGGCGGGCGGGGGGGGGCUGCUUUGGUGGGGUGCUCGGGUGGCGGACGGGGGGGUCACCCGUGGGUACCCUGCGCUUGAGUGGGGGAUACCUUCCGGGGACUGGGGCGCAUACCGGGUAGGCGCUCCUGCUGCAUUGUGGGGGUUGGACAGUUUCGGCGGUGGGGGAUGGACUCGCGGCUUAUCAGCCUGUUGGUGGGGUAGUGGCUUACCAAGGCUUUGACGGGUAGCCGGCCUGAGAGGGUGACCGGCCACAUUGGGACUGAGAUACGGCCCAGACUCCUACGGGAGGCAGCAGUGGGGAAUAUUGCACAAUGGGCGGAAGCCUGAUGCAGCAACGCCGCGUGCGGGAUGACGGCCUUCGGGUUGUAAACCGCUUUCGCCGGUGACGAAGCGUGAGUGACGGUAAUGGGUAAAGAAGCACCGGCUAACUACGUG
rnacentral:rRNA from 1 species